GAAUCUGGUCUUGGGACACUGUCAGGUGGGGCAGUUUGACUGGGGCGGUCGCCUCCCAAAAGGUAACGGAGGCGCUCAAAGGUUCUCUCAGUACGGUCGGAAAUCGUACGUAGAGUGUAAAGGCAAAAGAGAGCUUGAUUGCAAGACAUACAGGUCGAGCAAGGAUGAAAAUCGGACUUAGUGAUCCGGUGGUUCUGCGUGGAAGGGCCAUCGCUCAACGGAUAAAAGCUACCCUGGGGAUAACAGGCUUAUCUCCCCCAAGAGUCCACAU
rnacentral:rRNA from 1 species